GUGGUGAAAACAGUAAACGCGCUUGGCUGCUAACCAAAAGGUUGGAGGUUCAAAUCCACCC
rnacentral:tRNA from 1 species